rnacentral:rRNA from 1 species
AGUGAACGCUGGCGGUAGGCCUAACACAUGCAAGUCGAACGGCAGCACAGUAAGAGCUUGCUCUUACGGGUGGCGAGUGGCGGACGGGUGAGGAAUACAUCGGAAUCUACUUUUUCGUGGGGGAUAACGUAGGGAAACUUACGCUAAUACCGCAUACGACCUACGGGUGAAAGCAGGGGAUCUUCGGACCUUGCGCGAUUGAAUGAGCCGAUGUCGGAUUAGCUAGUUGGCGGGGUAAAGGCCCACCAAGGCGACGAUCCGUAGCGGGUCUGAGAGGAUGAACAGCCACACUGGAACUGAGACACGGUCCAGACUCCUACGGGAGGCAGCAGUGGGGAAUAUUGGACAAUGGGCGCAAGCCUGAUCCAGCCAUACCGCGUGGGUGAAGAAGGCCUUCGGGUUGUAAAGCCCUUUUGUUGGGAAAGAAAAGCAGCAGGUUAAUACCCCGCUGUUCUGACGGUACCCAAAGAAUAAGCACCGGCUAACUUCGUG